UACGUAGGUGGCGAGCGUUGUCCGGAUUUACUGGGUGUAAAGGGCGUGUAGGCGGGCUUGCAAGUCAGAUGUGAAAUUCCGGGGCUUAACCUCGGCGCUGCAUCUGAAACUGUGAUUCUUGAGUGCUGGAGAGGAUAGUGGAAUUCCUAGUGUAGCGGUGAAAUGCGUAGAUAUUAGGAGGAACACCGAUGGCGAAGGCAGAUCUCUGGGCCGUAACUGACGCUGAGGAGCGAAAGCAUGGGGAGCGAACAGG
rnacentral:rRNA from 1 species